AUAAUAUAUUGACUCGUUGUAUAUAGCUUGGAAACGCGAUGAGAGAUUACUGCGCAAAAACGGAUCAUAAAUAUUUAUGGAAACGGCGUAGUUAAAUACCUCGUGCGGUGUAUUGCACACAGAUUUAACGACGACGGAUAUCCAAAAUGACGUAGAGAAAAGGACUCUGUGAAGCUUAUUGAUGUGCAGCCAAUUUUACGUCCGGAUAACUGCUGACGACAAAUUAAUGUGCUACGGUUGCUGCAGUAUAUAUACUCACAAAU